CCUACGGGAGGCAGCAGUAAGGGAUAUUGGUCAAUGGGGGAAACCCUGAACCAGCAACGCCGCGUGAGGGAAGACGGUUUUCGGAUUGUAAAACUCUGUCCUCUGUGACGAAGAUGAAGGUAGCAGAGGAGGAAGCUCGGGCUAACUAAGUGCCAGCAGCAGCGGUAAUACGUAGGGAGCGAGCGUUGACCGGAUGUACGGGGUGGAAAGGGGGCGGAGGCGGGUUGGCCAGGCAGUAGGGAAAUCCAUGGGGUUAACCCAGGAACUGCUUUUGAAACUGGCGAGCUUGAGUGAUGUAGAGGUAUGCGGAAUUCCCGGUGUAGCGGUGAAAUGCGUAGAUAUCGGGAGGAACCCCAGUUGCGAAGGCGGCCUUCUGGGCUUUAACUGACGCUGAGUCACGAACGCGUGGGUAGCAAACAGGAUUAGAUACCCCUGUAGUC
rnacentral:rRNA from 1 species